rnacentral:sRNA from 1 species
AAAUAGAGAAACAAUGUCUGAAUGGAAGCUACAAAGUGAGAUACAGAUAAGUCACUCUUGGGAAGAAGGCUUGAAACUGAAUGACAACGGCUUACAGAAAUCAUCCUCUCUAAAGUGCAUUGAUUUAACUCCAGUAUCCUCAAUGGCUUCUUCCAUCAAGAAGACUGGGAAGCAGUGUUUCUCUCCAUCAUUACAAACUUGUGUGAGUUGCACUGGUUCGCCUUCAAGUCCUAUUCCCAGUCCUAUGCAACAAUACAUCAUAAGAAGUCAAAAUCCUACCAACAUUAUUAGACCAAGUAUCCUUGGACCAUUAAAAAGAAAAGGUGAAAUGGCAUUUCAAUAUCAACCAAAAAAGAUUUUCCAAGGCACAACCAACAUGCUUUCUUCUGAUACUUCCCAACUGUCAGAAAAUAAUGUGUGUCUACUUCCAGCUACUUUUGAUGGAAACGACAGCAAUGCUGGAUCUUCUGGUAAUUCGUCAGCUGAAAUCGGCACUGUCACAAACUCUCCUGUGUCACCUUCUGAUACUGGUUCUCAUUUGUUCUAGUAGACGAACUUUCAACUAAAUGAUUCACCCAUCCCAAGACUUUCUCACCAGUGGAGAAACACACACAUCAAGC